rnacentral:lncRNA from 1 species
AGGCGUUGAUAAGGUGUACAAGCAAUGAUUCUGAACUAAAGUCACAGCCAAGUACAAAACAAAUUAAUUUUUGGUUCAAUUAAGUAUAAAUAAACUACCAAGAGUAAUAAAGUUAAGAUCACAUGAAAAGGUAACAAUAUAUAUGCUCUUAUAAAGUCUUCAACUACUGCAUGGUGGCCAAGCACAGCUAAUUGACAUCAAAUUAGAAGACAAAAAUAUUAAGCUAAAGAUGU